rnacentral:rRNA from 1 species
GACGAACGCUGGCGGCGUGCCUAACACAUGCAAGUCGAACGGAACUGUUUUGAAAGAUUUCUUCGGAAUGAAUUUGAUUUAGUUUAGUGGCGGACGGGUGAGUAACGCGUGAGUAACCUGCCUUCAAGAGGGGGAUAACAUUCUGAAAAGAAUGCUAAUACCGCAUGACAUAUCGGAACCACAUGGUUUUGAUAUCAAAGAUUUUAUCGCUUGAAGAUGGACUCGCGUCCGAUUAGUUAGUUGGUGAGGUAACGGCUCACCAAGACCGCGAUCGGUAGCCGGACUGAGAGGUUGAACGGCCACAUUGGGACUGAGACACGGCCCAGACUCCUACGGGAGGCAGCAGUGGGGGAUAUUGCGCAAUGGGGGCAACCCUGACGCAGCAACGCCGCGUGAAGGAUGAAGGUUUUCGGAUUGUAAACUUCUUUUAUUAAGGACGAAAAAUGACGGUACUUAAUGAAUAAGCUC